AGAAUUCUAAUCUUUCUUUCACGCAUGUUUUCUCAAAUUGUUGUUUCAAAUCCGGACUUUGAAGUCCGGAUUUCGGUUAUAAAUAGCCAACUCUCCAUUUCCAUGAGGACAGAACUGAACUGUAGAGGUAAAACAGAGAGAUCUCAAAAAAAAAAAAAAAAAAAAAAAAAGGGAAAAGAUUUUUGAAAAAGGAAGAAAAACUUAGGGGGAUUUGGGAGGAAAACAGUGAGAAAAAAAAAAAGGAAUCGAGUGAAGGCAAAAGGGAGGAAAAUCAGUGAAGUCAAGAGGGGAAACAAAAAGGGUCGGAAAUUUGGGAUCUUUUCAGGGGUUUUCGAGUGAAAAAAAAGAGGCUCCGAAUCCGCGGAAGAAGGUUGAAAAAAUCCAUGAGAAAAUUAAGGAAAAUCCGCAAGAAAGUAUGAAAAACGAGUAAAAAAAGGGGCAGAGAAAGAGAGGGGUCUCAAAAUUGGUAACUUUCUUUUCUGAUUUUAUUCUUAAUCGAGUUUCUCGAGUCCGAGUUAGCCACCGAAUCUUGACGUGAAAGCCCCUGCUUUGAUGCAACAAAAAAGGUGCGAAUCCUUUCCCCAUUCCUUUUUGUUUUCUCUCCCCCAUCUGUCACGAUUUUUUGGGAGUGUGUGAUUUUGUUAUGUCUUUGUUGUUUUUCUGUGACUUUAUGGAUAAGAAAUUAUUUUGGUUCUAAAAAAAAUUGUUUUGCCUAUAGAUAUGCAAGUAUGAAAAUAUGUGAUUUCUCUUUGGCUUCAAGUUUAGUUGUGUUGUUGCUGGUCGUUAUUUGCGGAAUGGAUUCAUGAAUUUGAUUCCAUUUUGAUUUCCCUUUUCUUUCAAAAUAUGGUCAUCUCGUGAUUAAGAUAUAUUGACGUAUUCUGUUCUAGGUUAAUUCGAGUAAAAUGUGUGUUUUUCGAGUCCGAGUUAUGUCGAAUUCUAUUCCCGUCUAAUUCUAUGGUAUCUAGUUUUUGCAAUUUGGUACUCGGUUGAGUCCUUACUCUGGGUUUGUUGUUGCUGGUACUUGGUUGAGUCCGCUGGCUGAUUCUGGAUGUGGAUGCGAAGUAAAAUACUUUGAUAUGUUUGCUUUUGUUCAUGUAAAGUGGAGUGGGUAAAUGUUAACGAUUUGCAUACUCCCUCUAGCGAACAAAAUAACAAGGAACCAGUUGGUUUGCAAUAGUGCAAUUUAAUUCUUAACCAACUAAAUUAGUAGCCUAACUUUUGCUCCUGUUUGCAUUCAUACGGUCUUUUAGUCUUAAUUAUGUAAAAUAUGAAAAGUUCACCUCGAUUUAUUGUCAUUUGGUAUAUAUUAUGUCAUUUCUAAUUGUGUGGAGAUUGUCCCUUUCUUACUGUCUGCCCCUAAGCUCAAAUAUGAGAAUAUUGAUGGCGGUGUGGGUAUACUAUUUUAUAAUCCCGAUUCUUGACUUGAUUGAAACAGUUAUGGAAGGUCAUGUGUUUGCCAUGGGAAAUUCGCCUUACUUUGUUGCUUUUACUUUUCCUGCUCAAAAUACUGUAGGAUUUGUUCAUUAAGAUUGCUUCUCAUAAUGUGCAUCUAGGCAUCUCUUGCCGUUUUGUCAAAUGUUAAGGGUGUAAUUGAGCUUUGUGUUGCUUCAGUCGGUCACUAUAGGGGCUGUUUUGUCUUUAAAAAAUGUAUUAACAUGAUUUGGAGAAUAUUGGUGUCUUAGAAAUAUACGGAAGAGUGUACAGUGAUGUUAAGUUUAUUAUAAGCUUUUGUUGAGUGUUUUAAAAAUUCUUCCAAGUCGGUGUGACCUCUUUAUUUGUUUGCUUGAAAGGUACUCAUUUGUUCCAGUUUAAGGAUAAAUAUGUUUUGUAAAGUUAGUGGUUGCAUUCAUGUUCUCGUUUAGGAAGCUUGUUCUGGUAGAAUACUAGAGAUUGAGGCCCCAUUUGUUUUAAGUUUAUCUUUCAAAACUAAACAACUUGCUGAGGUUACCCUCGUAAUAAUUUAUUAACUACUCCCUCCAUCCCAUUUUACACGUCCUAAAUUUCCUAAUAUGGUGUUCCAUUUUACUUGUUCUUUUUUACUUAUCAAGACAAGACAAUUUUUUUUUUCAUGUUUUACCCUUUGCAUUAAUUAUUUUUUCUUUAAAUUAAAAUAUAAACAUCAUUUAAUAGGUUUACUGUAGUAAAUCUUUCAAUAGGUAUUCAUUUUCUACAAAGUGCGAAUAUGGAUAGUUAUGUUUACGGAUCGUUUGUGUAUCUUGGUUGAACAAUAAGAGGGCAUUCUUUUAUAGGCAUUGGGUAUUCUGGCAAACCUGAAAACAACUUGCAUAUCUAUAAUUCUCGGCUUCGUUUACUUGGGAUACAUGUCCAUUGCUAAUAUAUUUCUAUCCAUUUAAACUCAUCAUGUUCACUUUCAAUUUUGCGUGUGUAUCUUUAUUGGUUACUAAUCCUUACCCUUUUAUUUUUACAUAUGAACUACAUAUGAACUCGGGAGUUGGGAGUAUCGCAACGGAACUCGUCUUGACCCAACUAUUGGGUCAAUAGCUAGUAGGAUCGCAGAGCCUCGGGACUGCGUAUACUUGAAAACUCAAGCCCAUUAGGAGUCUAGUAUCUCUUAGUCCCUUCUCUUUAUUUAAUAUUCAUGUUAAGUUACUUUUGUUAAAACUUGAGACGAUAAUUAGUUAUUGUUGGUUAUUGAAAUUUUAUUGCUUUAUUUCGUUUAUAUUGCUUUAUAAUUUGCGGGUUUCCUUUGGAAUAAGAUAACAUCAUCACCCUUUUCGCAAUCACCACAUGAUUAGACAAAUGGAUUUUCUUAAAUAGAAGGGAUUUUAGUAAUUGAGAUAGUUGGCUAACCUCUCAUAAUUAAUGGUUGUACUCAAAAAUAUUUUCUUUAAUAAAAUAAAUAAGGUCGCAACCCCAACACUUUUUUUUCAAAACAAAAGAGAAGUUUUGAUAUGAUCAUACAAAUUGUUCGUACUUGUGUUUCUACGGAACCACUUAUCAAUUCCGGCUCACUUGAGUAUAUUAAAUGGUCUGAAUAUUUUAUCACAUUUUUAUUCACCCUUUUACACUAUCUCUAAAUAGAUUUUUUUGAAGUAAAAUCCCAAACGAGAUUAAAACACGAGGUACAUGUGGACACUUUAUCAUAUGCAAAAUAUUGAUUCUACUACUAUUUUUGUCCAUUCUUAACUACCCCUUUUAAAAUAUACUUACAAAUAAAUGAAUAAUUGUGUGAUAAGGGGUCGUUUGGUAGAGUGCAUUAGAAAACUAAUGCAUGCAUUAGUUUAAUAUGUAUUAUUAGUAUAUUAUUUGGUUCAUUUUUUAUUCUAUGUAUAACUAAUGCAAGUAUUAGUUAUACACUCUAUUGUGUAUUGUGGAGAGCAUUAUUAAUGUCACUCCUUUCCUAUGUAUUAGUAAUACAAAUGAAUUCAAUGCAUGUAUUAGCUUGAUUAAUAACGUAACUACCCCUCCAAUCCUUUUAAAAUAUUUUUCAGUUUCUUCUCUGUCUUUACCGAUGCAAUAACACACUUAUUUGAGAUGGCAAAAUUCAACUCAGAAGCGAUCUUAUCUAUGUGCUUGGUGAAGAGUUCAACUACUCAUACUAUUGCCUUGUUCCUAUUUUCAAAUUUAAACACAAACUUGAUAUCUGGGAACAUCUAGGAACGAUUUUUUUUUAUUUUUUUUUUUAAAAAUGUUGUAACCCAAAAGCUGGCUCUAAUCCAUGGAAAACAUUAUGAUGGCAAUUUUCUUCGAGAAACUUGAAGCAAUGCUAAUAGGCAACAAUUAUUUACAUUCAUUUUGGGGGGAAAAGAAAGAGAAGUUUUCAAUAAGAAGUGUACAAGAUUAAAGAAUAUAAAGGGUAUUUUUUAAAUAAAUAUUUUUUAAUAGAAAGGGAAAAGGCACAAAUAUACCACUGAACUAUCAGAAAUGACCCAUUUAUGUCAUCUGUUAUAAGUUGGACUCAUUCAUGCAAUCACUAUUACAAAAUCGGCCCAUCCAUGCCAUUACUUUUUAACAGAUGAUUUUUAAAAAUAGGCGUGCCACGUGGCAGCUUAUUAGAGGACCACGUCAUUUUUAUUUUAAUUUUUCAUUUUAAAAAAAAAAAAACUAUCCAUUAAAAAGAAUCCACGGAACUUUUUGAUCCAUUGAAAAUUAAUUUGAUGUAUGCUUUUAAAAUUUGAUUAAUUUUUCAUGAAUAUAUUCUUAAAACAUUCUCGUUCGAUUCGUUUUUUUUGUCAUUUUUGACAUAUUAAGAUUGUUUUCAUAUUUUACCUUUAAUAUUAAUUAUUUUUUUCUUCAAAUUAAUUUCAAAUACAAUAGUAAAACUUUUCAUUUUGCCAACUCUACGUAUACUAUAUAUGUCGGCAUGUUGUCGUCUUCCUGUUUUUGCAAUGAUAAAUGAUGAUGCAUAAAGUGUUACGUACAAAUGUUGAAUGCUGAUCAGGGGCAUCUCAACACUUUAGGAGAAAAGUCAGCCGCCUAAGACCCCAAAAAUUGAGGGGCCUAUUUUUGUUUAGUAAUAAUAAAAUACAAAUUUUAAGAAAUAUAUUAAAUACUACUUAUAGAAAAAAGAAAAAUUUUAUAUAAAAAAUAAAACGCAAGGCCUCCGUUUGAUUUUUGCCUUAGGCCAUAAAUUUGCUUGAGCCGCCCCUGAUGCUGAUGAUGUCAUUCUAUGCUUAAUAAAAAAAUAAAAAAAUAAAAAGUUACUUACAUUCGGCUGACAAAAUAUUUCAUGUAUGCUAAAACAUACUAUAUGCUUAAUUAGAAUAGCAUUUAGUUAUAAAUUUUAGUAGUAGAUUUUUUAAAAAAAAAUUCUUUAAAUAUUUGUUUGAUCAUGAAAAAUUAAUCAAAUUUUAAAAGUAUAGAUCAAAUUAAUUUUUAAUGGAUCAAAAAAUUGGGUGGAUUCUUUUUAAUGGAUCAAAAAAAAAAAUUUUAAAAAAUUAAUUUAAAAAAAAACGGCGUGGCCCUCUAAUAAGCUGUCACGUGGUAAGACUGUUUUUAAAAACCGACUGUUAAAAAGUAAUGGUAUGGAUGAGCCAGUUUUGUAACGGCGACGACAUAAAUGAGCCCAACUUUUAACGGAUGACAUAAAUGAGUCAUUUCUGAUAGUUCAAUGGCAUAUUUGAGUCUUUUCCCUAAUAGAAAUUAUAUAAGAUAUAUUCUUUUUAAUACAUUAAACCAAACAGUGUAUAACAAAUAAUGCCAGCAUAACUAAUGCAAGCAUAACUAAUACCAGCAUUACUAAUGCAAUCAUUAUUAAUACACCAUAUUCAGCAUUAUUCUUAUACACUCUACCAAACGACCCCUUAGUGUGUAAGUCAAUUUCUACUCAAAAUUAAUGCAUUAAUAUAUUCCAAUAUUUUAUAUACUUUUACCCUUUUCCGAGAAAUGCAUUUUGCAUACACUUGUUUUUGAAAUAAAUAAUUUUCCCACUGUACAUGAUAAUUCAUAAAUAAAUAAUUUUUACAUAUUUCUAAACGAUAUUUAAAUUUCUUCUUUACACACUUAUAUAUUAUGGAAAUUUUAUAUUCUUGUAAAAAUUAUAGAACUUUAAGUUUUUAGUUUAACAAAUGCUAAUGUUAACCUUUUCACUUCGCUCUCAUUUUUUUUUAAAAAAUAUGCAUGUGUACUUUGACAAUAAAUUACGUUAUUUUCGUAUAUUAUAAGAAUGUGUUUAUGUACCUUGUAUGUUUUCUUUAAGUUUGAUAAACAUGUGCGUAGUUACCAUCAUUCUAGCAAAUAACAAAGUAAUCAUUUUCCUAAACUGAGUGUAAGGUCUAUCUUCGGAUAGACUCUGAGGGGUGUCUAACAUCUUCCCCUCGAGUAAUCAAAACUCUUACUCACAAUUUCAAAAUAUUUUCGACAGACUAAAAUAGAGUUUUACAUAAAAAAUAGUUUUUCCUAAUUUUCCUAAAAAGUUAGGUGGCGACUCUAAAAAAUGAAUUUUCAAAACCCAAGAGUCAUGACAACGCCACCACAUGUUGUGUGCUAUUUCAACUGGCUCGAAAUAGGGCGCGACUAUGACAAUAAUCACAAGUAAGAAUCCAAAAUCAUAACUGAAUUAAUCAACCAAAAUCAAUACAAGAGAAUUCCAAGAUCAAAAUCAAAUCUCGGAAUCAAAAUAUGUUUGUGAGUAUCAAGAGUGUGUUAGUUCUAUUAAAAAACAUAUAAGAAGUAGUUAUAAUGCAUGAGGAAACCCUAAAACCAAAGCCCAAAUGAAAUACAAGAAAAAAAGGUCAGUGGCCACAUAUGGUCUCCACAUGCGGCCUAGCCUUGGCGCAUGUGGUACAUGCGGCCUGAGGCUGAGCGCACGUGGUGACUUCAUGUGCCCACCAAAAAUUCCCACUGGUUUGCUUUGAGGAUUUUGGACUUCUGACAGAUGUUUUGCCCACAUGUGCUACAUGCGGUUCGUAUGUUGACUUAGCAAGUGCCGAAAGAUAUUUUUUUAGCUCUUCUUCAAUUCCCGCAUAUGUUUUAGUCACGAAAAAUUCAGAAAGUGUCACGAACACCCAUUAUUGAUCACAUAAGUAGCCAAAAAUAUCCUUUUUCCUCUUUUUCACGAACUUAACAUCUAAAACCUAGUAUCCUGCAAAACAUACCCAAAACGCAUUAUAUCUAACGAAACAACCUUAGAAACUUGCAUAUUUUCCUUGUUUUAAGCAUCGAAAGUACUAUAUUUCUAUAGCACAUCAUGUCCUUCAUUUAUUCUCAAAAUAAAUGUACAAAAUAGCAUUAGUGGUUAUAGAGUACACCAGUUUUCAUAUUAUUAUGAAGUACCUAUGGCGAUAUCUGUUUCCUUUCAACAAAUUUUCUUUACAUUCUACACCUUGGGGUGUCUCAGAAGUCCAAGUUCCAUCACCCUACACCUUGCCAAAUAUUGUGAGUUCAAGUAACUGUAAGUUUUUGCUUCUUACAGCUUGAUGUUUAAUAUCAUUUCAAAUUAUAUUGAAAUUAAUUGGUUAUACUGAGUGAAUAAUUAAUAAGCAUAGAAUACACAGAUCAAAAAAAACCUUUCUCCUUUUAUAGCCUUAUAUCAGGAAGAUAUUUGUCCUCUUAUUACCCAAGGUCUGUAUUACUGUUCUAAUCUUAUAGUUCAAUUGUAUAUAACAGUAGUUGAUGGUUAUCUUUUGUUUUAUUGAAAAGAAGUCGAAACAAGAGUUUCAUGAAAAUACUAAGGGUGGUUUGCACUUCUGGCCAUAUUUUUUACUGGUCUUUAAUUUUCAUUCUUCAAGACAAUAAGUUUAUAUGUUUGCAUCAUAAUAAUCUACAAGUUAUUUGUCCUGCUCUUUUAGAGAACUUAUGGCCCCAUUGGGAUAAGUUGGAUUUCUAAAGGCAAGGUUAAAUAUUAGCCUAUUUAAGACAAACUAUGCAUUAAAUGAAUUACUAAUAAUCACAAGAUCGGGAUAGUGGUCAGAACUUCAAAUAAUGUGUUUCCUUAUCCUUAUGUUUUCAAGAGAAGGUAUUGUUGGUUUUAAAUUGUCGAACAUUUUAUGGAAAAAUUUUGUGAUGAAUAUUGUAACUUAAUUAAAAUAAAGUGGUAAGGAAAAAAAUGUCAUACAAUAAUGAGAGCCUGUUUGGGAUUACUGUUAGAAAACUGUUUAUUUGAGAAACAUUUUUAUAAAAUAGCUUUUCAGAAAAGUGCUUUUAAUAAAAACAAAUUAUGUUUGGUAAAUUCAUUUGAAAAGUGUUUUUGAUAAAUAUAUUAUGUUUGGAUAAUCUUUUUUAAGAGGUGUUUUUGAGAGACAAAUGACCAAAACGGACAUGUAUCAAUAGACUUUUACUAUUAAUUAAAUCAUUUUAUAGAGAAAAAUUGUUGUAAUUAUCUAUUAUAAUAUUUUUAAUUAUUUAUUUAAAAUAGUAUUUUUAAUUAUUUAUUUAAAAUUAAAAAUUCAAGAAAAAUUUACGAGUAUUGUCAAAAUACCAUUUGAUCUUGCAACAACAUUAUUCAUCUAUCAUUUAUUAUCAUUAAUACUAAAAAAUAAAGAGAUAUAUUCUUCGAUCGUCAUCAUUAAUGAUAUGUUUGAAUUUAUUUAAUGAAAAUGAGUGAAAAAUAAAAUAAUAAUAUAUAAAUAAUAGAAGGAAAUAAAGAAUUAUGAUGUAAAUAUGAAGUAUAAAAUUCUAAAAUCAAAUUUUAACCAAACUUAUAAGAUAUGCUAAUUAAUUAAUAAGGGAUAUAUAUGUGUGUGUGUGUGUGUGUGUGUGUGUGUGUGUGUUUAUAUAAGUGAUACAGGUACUUUUGUCAUGAGAAAAAUAAUUUCCUAUACUUCUACUUCUGUUUUUUUAAAAAAACAAAAAAUUUCUUCUUCUUUUCAAAAGCGGAAUAACUGCUUCUGCUUCUUUUUAAAAGUACUUUUGCAAGUUCACUAAACACUCUUUUUUCAAAAAAGUAUUUUUUUCUCAAAAAAAAUUUUUUUCUCAAAAAACGUUUUUUCCUCAAAAAAGCAUUUUUUGUGAAAAAAGCAAUCCCAAACAGGUUAUAAUAAGCAUUCCUAAUGUAACAAUUCAUUUGUCAAAAUUGAAUAUGGUCUAUUUGGAUAGUCACCUGGUAAUUGAAAUUGGUGUAAUUACUAGGAUAAUAAUUUUUAGUCAAGUAAUUACACAACCUAGUAAUUAUAAUAACUUGUUUGUUUGCCACAAUGUAAUUAUAGUGUAAUUACAAGUGUAUUAUUUGGUUGCACAAGUGUAAUCACAUGAUUAUCUUAAAUGUUUAAAAUAAAUAAAUAUUAAUUAUCUAUAAUGAGCCUUUAGGUCAAUUUCUCUGCUUUCAUGUAUUUUUUGUGUAUUUUGUAUUUUGUGCUUUUUGAUAGUGGUUACAGGUUAUUUAUGACUUAAUUGGGACCGUCGGUUUGGUUCUCAUGCAGUUCGUUUGGGUUCUAAGUCCAUUUCCCUAUUUAAGAGCUUUUUAAGUUAAGAAUUUGAUCUUUGACCAAAACUUCUAGUGAACGUCAUCGAAUGACAAAGAAGCUAACAAAAUGGAGAAGUCUGAGUACCCAAAUGAAACACCUAUUCAGCCACAAGAGAGACCACCACAACCAUUCCCUCAUAAGCUUAAAAAAGUCAAAGAGGAUGCUUGUUUUAAGAAGUUCUUUGACAUAUUUAGAGAACUUCACAUUAACCUUCUUUUAUUAUAUAUUUUGCAGGGAAUGCCUAAGUACUCUAAGUACUUGAAAGAUGUGGUGAAAAAUAAGAUGAAGCUUGGUGACAACGAGAUAAUCGAAUUUAUGAAAGAGUGCAGUUCUGUGGUAAUGAGAAAGAUGCCCCAAGAGCUCAAGAACCCUAUAAGUUUCACCCUCCUUAUACAAAUUAGUGAAAGUGAUGUGGUCCAUGCUUUGAGUGAUUUGGUGGAAAGCAUAAAUUUGAUUCCCCCAUACGUGUUUAAAACUCUAGAUUUGGUAAAAUGGAGGCCCUGUUCAGCUGUGCUCCAAAUUGCAGACAAAAUAAUAGUGGUUCCUAGAGAAAUCAUAGAUGAUGUUCUCAUUAAAAUUGGUGAGUUCAUUAUUUGUGCUGAAUUUAUUAUUUUUGAUUAUGAUGUAGAUGACACGGUGCCAAUCAUAUUAGGACAUCCAUUCUUGGCCACUAGAUAAGCACUAAUAGAUGUAAGAAAGAGCACUCUCAAAAUGACAUUGAAUAAUAAAAAGGCGGUCUUCAAAGUGUACAAAGCACUCAAUAUAUCCUCACACUACAAAUAUUUGUGCAUGAUCAUAGCUAUAGAAGUAGAUAAGUGCAGGGUGGAGGAGCACUAAUAUAUGUGAGAGAGGGCACUCUCAAAAUAAGAUUGAAUAAUAAAGAGGUGGUCUUCAAAUUGUAUAAAACACUCAAUACAUCCUCACACUACAAAGAUCUACACAUGAUCAUAGCAAUGGAAGUAGAUGAGUAUAGGAUGGAGGAGUGCAAACCUCUAAUUACCUCUCUGAACUCUCUCAUGGAGUAGCCCAAGUUAACAAUGAAGCCUAAAAUUGAGAAACUUGAAGGGGAGCAUGAACAGGUAAGUGUAGAAAGAGUGGCAGAUCUUGAGAGUAGGCACUCAAGAGGUCUGAAAAUAAUAAGAAGAUGGGCUUCGAGUAGGAAGAAAAGGAUAAGAGAUUGUAGUUAAGAGUUGUAAGUUUAGUCAUGUCGCGAUAAUAAAUCAAACACUGAUUAGGAGGUAACCCAAGUUAAGGUAGUCAUUUUUUCUUUAAUUUUCAUUAAUAUCACAUUUGGUUUUAUUUUUGUUUUAUGUAAAUAGGUUGAAGAAAAGUUUUAGUACUAGAGAUCUUAGCUAGGAAGCACGACAAAAACUGAGUGUGGGGUCCUUCAGAUCUCUUUGAUGAACAUGAUGCUACUAGCUAGGCCUAGAGGCCUCAGGGAUAGGGAUGGCAAUGGUGCGGUACGGGUGUGGUGUGGUGCGGGUUUUAAUAUAUGAGGGGCAGUGCGGGUUUUAAGUUAUGCGGUGCGGUGCGGGUGCAGGGCGGGUUAAAGUAAGUUUUUUUUUAAAUGGUGCAAUGCGGUGCGGGUUGCGGGUAUAUGCGGGUUUAAAUUAAAAAAAAAUAAAAAAUUAGUAUUGUUCUUGUGAAUAUGCCUAAAAUUAUGUGUUCUUUACUUAAAUUUUAUAAUACUUAAAACGACAUACAUAACACUACAAAUAAAUAAUUUUAUAGUAGCUUUUUUAAUAUCGCUAUUCAUUUGAAUAAAAAUAUGAUAUUUUAUCAUUACUUGUAUACGUUAUACUUUUUGAUAAUUUUUUAGUGAAAAGUGAUAUAAUAGAAAUUAAUUAUUAUUUUCUAGUUGUAGAUUUGAAAAUAUUAUGAUUUUCAAUGGAGUUAUAAAUUUUUCAAAAAAAAUAAAAAUAAAAACAUGGGGAGGUGCGAUGCGGUUAUGCGCAGGUAUGAAUGUGAGGCAGGUUUAUGCGGAUUUAAAUAUGAUGUGGUGCGGUAUGGUUUUAAAACUUACGGAUUUAGAAAAAAAUUACACCGCACCCGCACCGCACCACACCAUUGCCAUCCCUAUCAGGGAGUAUUUCUAUCCUUACUUUUAAUUUAUACUUUGCAGAUAAAGUGUGACUUUAAGUAUGGGGAGGGGAAUAUUUUGAUUGUUUAGGGUGAAGUAUUGCUAUAAGAUGUCUAGGUUCUGUUUAAAUUUUAAAAAAUUACAAAAAUAUUUUAUCUUUAUUUAUUUUUAGCUUUAUUAUUUGGUCUAUUUGGUAGAAGCACACUUCACCCACCUUUCAUUUUUUUGGGUCUUCUCUGAGAGAGUGCCCUUUGAAUCCAGUAUUAUUUUUUAUUUUUAGGAGUAAUUUUAAAAUUUGUGUCAUUAGGAAUAGAUAAAGAUACUCUUGUUAGGUUCUAUACAUGGUUACAUGAUGCAAGUUUGUUUUAAAUAUGCAAGCAUGUGUAAAUAAGUUGAAUGACUUCGUUGAGACACCUAGGUUUAUUUAUUUGACUCUUGUAUGAUGUUGGAUUAAUUUUAGAUUCAUGCUAUUGCUUGAUUUAGAAUCUAUAGAGAUCUUUAUUGAUUUAAACAUAUGUAAUGUGUGAGUGAGGUUUUUAUCAUAUUCCUUGUUGCAUAGUGAUGUCUAGAACUUGCCUGGUGUAUUUUCAAAAUGAAAUAAAGAUUGUUGAGUUUAGGAGAUGAAAUAGGCAUUUCUUUGAUAGUCAUAGUUUGCACUUGCUUUAUCAACCCUUUAUGUAUGGUCAUAGUUAGCCUAUUGAGCCUUUAGCCUAUUCUUUGGUAAAUUUAUAUGUAGCUUAUUCCUUUUAUUUUAAUUUAUUAUUAUUUGAUCCAAUACUCCUAAGAGCUUUAGUUGAGGAAUUAAGAUGAUAAGGAGUGUAAAAUUGAAAAAGGAAAAAGUAAAGUUAAAGCCCCAAGAAAAUAGCUAUUGGUGUUUUGAAAAAGUUUGUGUUGUUGGUAGGGAGUGAUGUAAUGAAAAGAAAAAAAUAAGUUGAUCAAAAGAAAGUGAAUCAUGUGUUGAUGGAAAAUACUCCCUAUUAAAUAUGUGUGAGCUAGCUUAAGGAGAUGGAACAAAACAAAAGAGAGAUGGGAAUAUAAAAGUGGUGAAAAUGGUGUAUUAAAGCGCUUAGGGAAGAUAAUCACUAUUACUAGCUAGAAUAGUUCCUACCUAUCCCUUAACCUACAUUACAACCCUUUAAGUCCUGUUUGAUCUUGACCUUUAAGAUUCUGAUAUUAGUGGAAAACUACACUAAGGGCAAGCUUAUGGUUCAUCUUAUGUGAUAUGUGGAUUCUUUAUGAGAGUGAGUGGAAUUCGAUUUCUACACCCAGUCUUGUGAUAAACUACAUAUAUGUUAGUGAAUAUGGGUGACUCUCUUCUGGUAAUGGCACAUGUUUGAUGAUGGAAAAGUGACUUGCAUGAUCUCUUUGUUGAGUAAUAUUCUUGAGUUUUCUAAUUUGGUAGAGUCAAUUCUUGAGGCUAGGAAGUCUUGAAGUAGUGUUCAUGGGUUUUCAAUUGUAAUAUGACAUGCUUAAUAUGGAACUUGCUCUUCAUAUAGCCAUUUUAGUUCUAGCUUGAUACGACUCUAUCUAAUCCUUGACUUUCGAGGAUGAAAGUUAUUUUAGUAAUGAAUGUUUUAGUGACCCUCUAGGUCAUUUUCUCUAUUUUUGUGCAUAUUUUUCAUUCCAUUCUUUCCAUAAUGAUUACAGGUUAUUUUAAACUUUUUGGGACCAUUAGUUGGUUCUCAAGGUAGCUCAUUUGGGUUGUAAGCUCAUUUUUUUGUUUUGGAGUUUUUAAAGUUGAGGAAUUAGUCUUUAGUUGAAACUUCCAGUAAACAACCUUAUAUGAUAAUUCUGAGAGUUCCAUUAGCUCUAGAAUGUUGAUUUAGGAUAAGGAUAUCCUUGAUCCGGGUCUCGAGGAUUCAAGGCUCGUUUAGGAUACUAAUUAGAAAUUGGUGAAAAUGAAACCUUUGGGGGGUCCCACUUUUUGUCAAAACAAACCUGGAUGGAAAUUUUGAUGGUCCCCGUGAGUUCAAAAUAUCAAAUUUGGUAGGUAUCAUAGCCUUUUUGGAUGCACGGGGUUUUAAAUUAAUUUUGAGAAUCUGGUCGAAGUCCAUUCAAACAGUUAAAUUUUUAAGUUUUUGGUAGCUUGUGCAGCAGCUUAAGCCGCUUAAGCAACUGGGGUAUCUCUUUAUCAGCACCUCUUCCCCGAUGUACCUUCCACUUUAAAGGUUAUUUACCUCUUUAGUGGUUUAGAUGCUCAGUGGAUGCUUAAGCCUCAAUGUUGGGUAUAUGAUUUAGAAUUUGUCUCUCUCACUUAUUUUAGCUCAUUUCUCCUCUAUUGUUGUGAUCUUAAGAUUAGGAAUUAAUGGGAUUUCAUCCCAUUGAACUCAUGUAUGGUACUUGAAUGGUCCUUGUCCUUUUUCCCAUUAUGGUCUGCAUUACUUUUCCUCCUCUAAAUUAAAUUCUCAAUUUUGGGGAUUUUGAUCAUUAGACUUGACAAACUAAUUUGAACCCCAAUUGAGAAUCCAUAUGUGUUCAAUUUUUCAGCACACAUUCCUUGUCCUUUGGGGGACCUCAUGGUGGAUUCAAUUUUGAAUUCCAUUAGUGGGUCUAUGGGCUAUUUUUUGACCUAAUUCUCUUCGUAGAGCUUAGUAUUGCAUUAUAAACUUAUUUUACUCGUAUUAAUGGAUAGAUUAUAAAUUUGAUAGAGUGAAGAUAUUCAGAGAUCGAGGAGUAGAGAUAAGCAGCUCUUAGAUUGUUCAGCAAUAAGGUAGGCUAUGGUCUACUUUUCUCUAUGAGAUUGUGUAUCAUAUAGAUUGCAUGCUAGUUGGGGUUUAUAGGAUGGUUUUAAGGCUAGUUAUAUCAUUAAGAAUGUUUUCCUUUUCUUGUAAUCUAAUUUUGUGCUAUAGAGUCUAAGGUCUUAAAUCUCCUCUAAUACUCAUUUGUUCGUAUUUUAGAUCAUGUCUCCCUGAAGAUCUGAUGCACGUGAAAGUCUUCUGUCACGUCUGAGGAUAAUGUCUAUGGAGCUCAU
rnacentral:lncRNA from 1 species